UUUUAAAUAAAAACCCUAAAUCUGAAGUCAUUUUUAUCUUCUUCUUCAGCCUCGUGCGCUGCUUGGAACACCAACAUCACCUCCGAUUCACACACUCUGCAUCAACAUGGCGGAACACCGUCUGCACCACCACCCAAAACAGUAGAGAAGAGGAAAAAAUGGUCAUCAAACACUCUAUUCCAACUCCGUACGAAUCCGACGAUUGUCAGAAGAAGCUAUAAUCCAUUAUCGUUCUUCAUGAGAUCCACCGUCUAGCGCCUUGGUCCGAUCAUUAUAAACAAGUCCUUCCGAUCAAAGAUGAUGGAAAGGGGUUCCUCAACCAAGGGCAACAAGUCUUCUGAAUCAAAGGUGAUUUAUGAUAAGACUAUCGGGAGAAGUAGGGGAUUUGGUUUUGUAACUAUGACUUCUGCUGCUGAAGUUGAAACUGCCGCUCAGCAGUUCAGUUGUUAUCUAGUGGAUGGAAGAUAAGUGAGAGUGAAUUUUGGACCAGCUCCACCUCCUCGUGAGGAUUCUCGUUAUGGUGACAAUCCUCGUUUUGGUGGUGAAAAUUCUUGUUUUGGUGAUAGUUCCGGUUUUAGGGGUCCUCCAAGAGGUGGUUCAGAUAGCAAACACCGUGUUAGCUUUAUAUCUGUCAUUGUCUCGGUCAGUAUUGCUGACCGAUUUGGUAGAAGAUUCUUGUUCAUAACGGGAGGUAUUGUUAUGUUUAUGUGCUUGGUAAGUGAAUUACUAAAACAUGUCUAUAUUUGAAUUAAAAGAUAUAUUUCUUAUAUAUUAAGUAAUUUAUAUGAACAAUGUGCAGAUUGCGGUGUUCAUUGUGUUGGCAGUGGUGACUGGUGUUCAUUGUAACACCCUUCUAAACCCCGCGGCAAUUUUUAAAACAAUUAUAUCAGAGUAAAACAUAAAACACAAGGGUGCCAGAAUUAUAUAAAAUAAAUAAACCAAUCAUGGUCAAGUCAUGCUUCAUUAGGAAACGGUUCACCAAAUUGUAAUUAUGUUUAUCACAGCGGAAUA